rnacentral:rRNA from 1 species
UGGCUCAGAUUGAACGCUGGCGGCAUGCUUUACACAUGCAAGUCGAACGGCAGCACGGGUGCUUGCACCUGGUGGCGAGUGGCGGACGGGUGAGUAAUACAUCGGAACGUAUCCAGAAGAGGGGGAUAACGCAUCGAAAGAUGUGCUAAUACCGCAUAUUCUCUGAGGAGGAAAGCAGGGGAUCGAAAGACCUUGCGCUUUGGGAGCGGCCGAUGUCUGAUUAGCUAGUUGGUGGGGUAAAGGCCUACCAAGGCGACGAUCAGUAGUUGGUCUGAGAGG